rnacentral:rRNA from 1 species
CGCCUAUACACAAAAGCAAAAAUGUCCGUUUAUACAAAUAUACGGCGUUUCGGUUUUGUUGGCGGGGGGUGCGUGUGUGGAUAACGGCUCACAUAACGUGUCGCGAUGGAUGACUGGGCUUCCUAUUUCGUUGAAGAACGCAGUAAAGUGCGAUAAGUGGUAUCA